GUGGGAGCCUUUUCCUGAGAGCCCAAAAUCUUCUGAUCUAGGUCUCUGUUGUGUGCUUGCAGUGACCAGAGGAUGCGCAGCCAGCCCAGCUUGUUUGCAGUGACUGUUGUCCACGCCUACAGACAGCUGAAGGGAUGUGUUGCGUAUGCAUGAUGAGAUUGAUUGCAAUGAUGAACACUGUAGGUCUGCCUGGAGGCAGAGGAAUGGGAGCUGGAGGAAGGCCACAUCUGGGACGUUUCUAAGGAGCCUGGGGAAAGAUCAGGAAACAAACUCAGGAGAAAGGAAGGAGCAAGUCGAGCAUAAGAGGUGAUCUGCAGCUCAUCUUGGGAACAAGAGGAGAGAGUUGUCCCACAGGGAAGAGGUGCCAGAAGCGAUUGAAGGUCUGCACCGUGGGUGCAGCCAGAACUCCCUCAUGAACUGAUUUGGGCCAUUGGCUACCAGGUCCCUGAGAGCAGGUACGGAGGCUGUGGCUGCUUUCCUGUUGUCCUGACUUUGCACAGUAUUUCUAGUUGCAGUUGAUAUUAAUAGACCAAAAAAAAGGUAAAAAGUUAUGCUCAAGUUCAAGAAUGCAGCAUUUUCAUGGAUAUGCUGCUUGUUAGCAAGAAAAAAGGAUAAAGGGUGGGCAGCGCUGGAGCAACUAACUCAAUGACUGGUUGGUGGAAAGAGAAAGGAAAAUGUGCUAAGUGAAUGCAGCUUAUGUCUGUGACAUUUUUAGAAGAUAUUCCAGAUUUGCUGAGUGGGAAAUAUGAUUCUUUGCUUAUUUUCUAUUUUGUGGACAACAUGAAAAAAUGAUCAAUAAAAUGGUAAUAAUAGUA